GAGGUUGUAGCUCAGUCGGUAGAGCAUGAGACUCUUAAUCUCAGGGUCAUGGGUUCACCCCACGUUGGGCGCC
rnacentral:tRNA from 1 species